GAGCAAAAGCUGGCAGUAAGUAUUCGCAGCGGCUCUAAUAGCCGUGGGAGCUGAGGAAAGAGACACAAGAGUUCCAGCACACUCAUAAAUGACGGCAGUUGAUGGAGCAUUCAACAAAGAUAUAAUGAUCUUAAUAUAUUUGCCUUUCUCGGCCUUAUUGGCCCGGCAAACCUUCUUAAUUAAUUCUAAGACAACCAUCUGAAGCUGCUCCCCCCAAUCAGCCAUCCUAUCGAUGUUAGUAAAGAGGUAGUUGAUGGCCCUUUCUUGGGCACAAUUGAAGAGCAUAAGAAAAGCAUUUCUCUUACUGGAAUUGUCCUGCUCGGAGGUCAAGAACUUCUCGAUGAUCUCAGG
rnacentral:misc_RNA from 1 species